CACAUCAAAUUGUAUUUGAUGAAGCAUUAAACAAUCAACCCUAACCCUUAAACUUACCAUUCAAAGAGCUUUUUGAAGACGUCAGGGACAGGCUCCCUUGUCCUUACUUUCCAAACAUACUCACUUGUAAGGUCUAGACUUAGAAAGACAGACGAACCUGGAACCCUGAUCAGCUUUUCUUCUACCUGCAGGGCAAACCAGGCAAAGAUGGCGACCCCGGUUCUUCAGGCUUCCCUGUGAGUUCUGUCAACAAACCAGUAACACUUUUUAAUUCCCUUAUUCGAUCUCUAACUUUCUGUUCUUUCUAUUUUCCUUGUUCACUAUCAGGGAGGCAAAGGGGAUUCAGGCCUGCCAGGUCCUCCGGGCAGGGAUGGAGAGAGAGGAUUCAAAGGUGAGACUGGAUACCCAGGCCCACCAGGAUUGGUUAUUGGCGAGCAGGCAGGGGGGCAGGUUGGCUCUAAAGGUGAGCCUGGCUACCCCGGAUCAUCUGGACACAAAGGAGAUAGAGGACCAGCAGGUUUAUCAGGACCUCCAGGAGCACCAGGACCUCCAGCUACUGGUGGUAGUGGGCAGCCCGGAUCUCCAGGCUUCCCAGGAGAGAGAGGUCAGAAGGGAGAAUCCGGCGUUCCAGGGCUGUCUUUGCCAGGUCCCCCAGGACGUUCAGGGUCCAAUGGCGGCCAGGGUCAACCGGGGCCCCCCGGACCUCCAGGCUUUUCCACAGCAAGACAAAACUGCGUUGGUGGAGAGCCCGGGCGUCCCGGCGUGCAGGGAGAGAGAGGUUACCCAGGAGAGUCUGGCCAGAAAGGUGAGAGAUGCUGGUGCUCAUCAGAUGACUAACCAUUAUCUGUUUAUAUGAUGGCUAAAUAUAGAAUAUAGGCUAUGAAACAGAUAAGUAAGGAAAAUAUAUUUUAGUUAGAUUUUCACCAGCUUUAAGAUGAAGAAGUAGAUUCAAUUUAAAAUGCUCCCCUGCCACCGCACUAGAAAAGGCUGACGUUAGUAAUCUGUUGUUUCAGGUGAUAAGGGCGAGACCUGCGUCAACUGCUUCGGUGGUACCAGUGGCAUCCCAGGACCCACGGGACCUGCAGGACAACCCGGAUUCCCUGGUAACACCACUUCCCUGUCUACUCAACACAUUCCCAUCAGACAUGGCUUUAUGUAGAAAUGUAAUUGUUUCUCACCAUGAGCAGUGUAAAUCUAUUGGAUCAUUAUUACUGUAUUU
rnacentral:lncRNA from 1 species